UGACCACAGCCCCCCCAAACCGCCUGCCGCCUGCCCCUUAGAGCACAACGCAGCCUGGCCCUACACCUAACCCCCAGACCACUCCCUCAAUCGUGAACCCAGUAAACCAGCCUGCACCCCACACAGCCCAAGGUCUUGCCCCGCGCCCAGGUCCCAGCACCUAGCGACCCGCCUUCAGCACUUGGAAUGGGCUGGAGUUGGGAAAUCAGAGAGGGCCAGUGCAGGUGCUGGGGCAGUAUCGAGAGCGGGGACCUUACUGCUAGGGUGGAGAGGAGUGGGGGAGAUUGGUCCCAACCCAUCACCGCUGGUGGAUGUCUCAGAGGAAGCCUGGGGUCCCUGGCCACUGGGUAGGAGGGUAGGAAGAAAAGAUGAGGCAGGCUCUUCCCGCCCAAACAAGUCCAGGGGGCGGAGGACGGGGGAGUGUCUACAGGGUGUGGGGAGGGGGCUGCCCCGCCUCACGAUUAAGGUUCAGACUAGGGGUACUUAACCGCUGGAGCAGGCCCGACUGAGUAGGCACAGUGGGCACAGGUUACAAGGUGCUGCUUUACAUGCGUAUUCGCCUCGCAGGUGUGACCUUGGACCGUUGCCCUCCUCUCUCUGGACCCCAAAUACAUUGCAUAUGUAGGUACUAAAUCCAUAUUUGUUAAAUGGCUUGAUGUGGAUAACAUAGGAGAUUAUCCCUGGCUGGUCUCCAUUAGG
rnacentral:lncRNA from 1 species